GAGAACUCUCCGCACGUCUUUUCACAGAAGUCACAUUCAUAUCUUCUAUGACAGAUGAGCCUCCGAGUCCAGCAGUGUUGCAUGAAGUUCCGUCAGGUACUUCUUUGACAUCAUAGUCUUCAGAUAGUUUCUCCCUAUGUGCUUCGCCACUGAAUUUGUCAGAGCAAUCAAUCUCAGCUUCUGCAUUGCUUCCAUUGCAGGGUACAGCAACGAGUUGAGAAAUAAAUUUCCUUGCAUCCAUAUUGUAUGGGAAAACUAGAUGAUCAACCUUGCUGAUUUCAGCAUUCGUUUUGAGAUAAUGAAUGCUAUCUGGAUUCAAAUCGUUUGCAUAAACCGCACAUCCUUUCUGUGCAGCGGGAAUAGCAAAAGGACCAAUGCCA
rnacentral:misc_RNA from 1 species